rnacentral:rRNA from 1 species
CAGCAGCCACGGUAAUACGUAGGGUCCGAGCGUUGUCCGGAAUUAUUGGGCGUAAAGGGCUCGUAGGCGGUUUGUUGCGUCGGGAGUGAAAACCGGGUGCUUAACACCUGGCUUGCUUUCGAUACGGGCAGACUUGAGGCAUGCAGGGGAGAACGGAAUUCCUGGUGUAGCGGUGAAAUGCGCAGAUAUCAGGAGGAACACCGGUGGCGAAGGCGGUUCUCUGGGCAUGUUCUGACGCUGAGGAGCGAAAGUGUGGGGAGCGAACAGGAUUAGAUACCCCAGUAGUCCCUGUCUCUUAUAC